rnacentral:rRNA from 1 species
UACGUAGGUGGCAAGCGUUGUCCGGAUUUACUGGGCGUAAAGGAUGCGUAGGCGGAUGUUUAAGUGAGAUGUGAAAUACCCGAGCUCAACUUGGGUGCUGCAUUUCAAACUGGAUAUCUAGAGUGUAGGAGAGGAAAGCGGAAUUCCUAGUGUAGCGGUGAAAUGCGUAGAGAUUAGGAAGAACACCAGUGGCGAAGGCGGCUUUCUGGACUGUAACUGACGCUGAGGCAUGAAAGCGUGGGGAGCAAACAGG